UCCUUGUUCAGCAGUUCUGAGGAGGACCAGCGAGAUGAAGCCCAGAGGAAGGAGGACGACAUGAUCCUGCUGCUAAAGAAGGCCAAGCUGAGCGUGUCUCGGGGACAGCUGGACGCCGCCUCUGGUUUCCUCCAUCAGGCCGUCGUUUUGGCUCAUCAGACUCACAACAACCAGGCCAUCAUCUACACCUACAGCCUGAUGGGGAACCUGGCGUACGUUCAGGGUCAGCUAGACAGCGUGAGUAUCGUCCAGUCACAGCCCCUGAUUGUCCCCGUGUGAUCCAACUGCUCUUUGUCUCUGAGCUGCUUCCAGAUGGUCGUGGAAAACCUGGAAAAGUCCUGGAAUUUGCAAAUAGUGAUUUCCAGGCCUGGAAAAGUGUUGAAAAUCUAAUUAGAUCCUUAAUUUAGUUUUUUAGUUUGAGAAACAUGUAUGUUAUCACUUGAGGCUUUCAAGGACCAUGGGAAAUUUAAAAAUCCAAUACUUAGUGUUUUGACAGUUUCUGGCUGAAUGAGCUCGUUUUUAAAGAAAACAUGUUUUCUUUAAAAAUCCAUCCAUCCAUCCAUCCAUCCAUCCAUCCAUC